rnacentral:rRNA from 1 species
GAGUUUGAUCCUGGCUCAGAUUGAACGCUGGCGGAAUGCUUUACACAUGCAAGUCGAACGGCAGCACGGGAGCUUGCUCCUGGUGGCGAGUGGCGAACGGGUGAGUAAUACAUCGGAACAUGCCUAGUCGUGGGGGAUACCGUAGCGAAAGUCACGCUAAUACCGCAUACGCCCUGAGGGGGAAAGCAGGGGAUUCGCAAGAACCUUGCGCGAUUAGAGUGGCCGAUGCCUGAUUAGCUAGUUGGUGAGGUAAUGGCCUACCAAGGCGACGAUCAGUAGCGGGUCUGAGAGGAUGAUCCGCCACACUGGAACUGAGACACGGUCCAGACUCCUACGGGAGGCAGCAGUGGGGAAUUUUGGACAAUGGGGGCAACCCUGAUCCAGCCAUUCCGCGUGAGUGAAGAAGGCCUUCGGGUUGUAAAGCUCUUUCAGCUGGAACGAAACGGUACGCUCUAACAUAGCGUGCUAAUGACGGUACCGGCAGAAGAAGCACCGGCUAACUACGUGCCAGCAGCCGCGGUAAUACGUAGGGUGCGAGCGUUAAUCGGAAUUACUGGGCGUAAAGCGUGCGCAGGCGGCUUUUUAAGCCAGACGUGAAAUCCCCGGGCUUAACCUGGGAAUGGCGUUUGGAACUGGAAGGCUAGAGUGUGUCAGAGGGGGGUAGAAUUCCACGUGUAGCAGUGAAAUGCGUAGAGAUGUGGAGGAAUACCGAUGGCGAAGGCAGCCCCCUGGGAUAACACUGACGCUCAUGUACGAAAGCGUGGGUAGCAAACAGGAUUAGAUACCCUGGUAGUCG